rnacentral:rRNA from 1 species
UACGGAGGGCGCAAGCGUUGUUCGGAAUCAUUGGGCGUAAAGCGCGUGUAGGCGGUCGCGUAAGUCGGGUGUGAAAUCCCGGGGCUCAACCCCGGAACUGCAUUCGAAACUGCGUGGCUAGAGUCCCGGAGAGGGUGGUGGAAUUCCCAGUGUAGAGGUGAAAUUCGUAGAUAUUGGGAAGAACACUGGAGGCGAAGGCGGCCACCUGGACGGUGACUGACGCUGAGACGCGAAAGCGUGAGGAGCAAACAGG